rnacentral:rRNA from 1 species
GACGAACGCUGGCGGCGUGCUUAACACAUGCAAGUCGAACGGAAAGGCCCUGCUUUUGUGGGGUGCUCGAGUGGCGAACGGGUGAGUAACACGUGAGUAACCUGCCCUUGACUUUGGGAUAACUUCAGGAAACUGGGGCUAAUACCGGAUAGGAGCUCCUGCUGCAUGGUGGGGGUUGGAAAGUUUCGGCGGUUGGGGAUGGACUCGCGGCUUAUCAGCUUGUUGGUGGGGUAGUGGCUUACCAAGGCUUUGACGGGUAGCCGGCCUGGGAGGGUGACCGGCCACAUUGGGACUGAGAUACAGCCCAGACUCCUACGGGAGGCAACAGUGGGGAAUAUUGCACAGUGGGCGGAAGCCUGAUGCAGCAACGCCGCGUGCGGAAUGACGGCCUUCGGGUUGUAAACCGCUUUCGCCUGUGACGAAGCGUGAGUGACGGUAAUGGGUAAAGAAGCACCGGCUAACUACGUG